AUGGGUAGCUGGGCCCUCUACCUGGCCCUUUGUCUCCUGGGAGCAGGCCCCAAGGAUGCUGAAAUCUACCAGAUAGGAUUUCUGCUCGCUGAGGCUGGCCAGGAUGUGACCCUGGAGUGCAAACGGAACCUGGGCUACAGUGCCAUGUACUGGUACCAGCAGGACCCAGGGCAGGGUCUGAAGCUGACUUAUUACUCUACGCUUGAAACGGACAUUCAGAGAGGAGACUUAUCUGAAGGUUACAGUGUCUCUCGAGAGAAGAAGGAGCUGUUUCCUCUCACUGUGAAGUCUGCUCACACCAAGCAAACAGCCGUGUACCUCUGCUCCGGAGCACCACAGUGGAACACAGCCACCUCUCACCUGUGCACAAACCCACUCCAGCCCCACAGCCCCCGAUACAGCCUCCCUCUAAAAACUUGUAAAGCACCCUUUCCCUUCACGCUCUGA